rnacentral:lncRNA from 1 species
GGACAGCGCCGACAGUAACUCCAACAAAAUCAGAAUAAACUCUAUUCAAAGGUCUUCAUUUCAGAAGAAACGAAAAAAAAAAAAAAAAAAAAAAACUAAAUUUUUUCCACACGUGUCGAUAAAUCCAACCUAUCGUGACAACAAGAAGAAGGUGACUGAAGGUUAAACAAACAAUGAGCAAUUGCCAAGAAAGAUCAUAUUUCAGUAAAAGAUGCUCACAAGAUAACACUAUUUGGAUCUGAGGGGGGUUUGGUGGGGGCCAUUAUUUUCUGAAGAGUAUAAAACGACAGAAUUUUCACUGCUGGUUCAUUAAAUCCCGUUGUCAAGCCACAAUAGGAAGAUCCUACAGGUAUGAAAACUUGAACUUGAGCAAUGUUUUACUUUAACUGUAUUUAUGCUGAAUAUGUCAUUUUUGUAUUAAUUCAACUUUGAUUUUCACAGCUUUUAGAGCAAUUCUCAUCAUCACCAUCAUUAUCUUCAUCAUCAUGGGUCGUUUUGCAGAACUGUCCCUGCUUUUUGUCUGUUUUGUUGCUUUUGCAGCUUCUGAGAAUCAUCCAGAAGCAGAUCUGGUGAUAAAACCUGUAACAGAGGAUGACCUGAAUGCCCUAGUUAAAGGUAAGGAACUGAUAUAGCUUUCAGCUGUGAUUUUUUUUACUUAUCAUCAUUCAUCUACUAAUCAUUAACCAUUUAAUAAUUUCUAUUAAUUUUUUGUUUUGUGUUGUGAACAGAUCAAAUCAAAAACAAAGUGAAGAGGGCUGCUACAUGUGAUUGUAGCUGUCCGUUUGGCUGGGUGAAAUAUGGAGAACGGUGCUUCACCUACGUUUCUCAAUAUAGGGACUGGACCAGUGCUGAGGUAUGUCUGACCUGUUAAGUUGAUCUGAAUUACGUCAUUUAAAGGCUCCUUACUUUUUGAAGUGUGAAGGUUGUGAUGUCAUUUAUGUUAAAGUUUAAUGUCUUAAAGAAUGCCUCAAUGCUUUGGGUUAUCUAGCGUGACCAUAUUUUUAUUUGGGUAAACCAGGACACCUGGCUAAAUGACGUCAACACCUAAUUUGCAUAAUACAUUUUUUGAAGCUGUAAAGGAUUAAGGUUGUGGGAGUGGGAAAAAAGUGAGUAAAAAACACCCUAAAUGUUAGAAAUUAUACAAAUGAACAACUUCUGUUGCUUUUUAAAUAGGUCAUCACUUUUUUU